rnacentral:snoRNA from 1 species
UGGAAGUGAUGAAAUAGAGAUAAUUGGAUGUCUCUUUGAAUGGAGUGUGGGUGAGGAAUGGAGUCAGAUGGGGUGGGAGGAUGGGGAGUGUGUGUGUGUGUGCUUGUAGAGAAAAGGCUUUAAUGGGGGCACUGAUAACGAGGUGCUGAUUCCGGAGUGCAUCUGAGGCAUGUUGUUAAAUUCUGGGUCCUGUUUAUCAACAUUGCCGAUGAUUAAAGCCCAAGACAAGCUCACCAAGACAAGCCUAGGCAUCUUAAAUCUCUGACAGGUUCGUUAAUGAAAAUGAUCCUGUGAUCUGAUCCAA